GGAAGAAUGGUCCAGUGGUUAGGGCACUAAUCUAGAAGUUGGAAGAUCUGUAUUCAAGUUGCUGCUCUGCCA
rnacentral:tRNA from 1 species